GUCAUCCAAUGCCAGUCAGCAAUGAUUAAUGUUUUAAUCGAGAGAUGGCGGCCUGAGACUCACAUAUUUCAUUUUUCAGUUGGUGAGUGUGUUGUGACGUUGGAGGAUGUGGUGAUAAUUCUCGGUCUGCCGACAAAUAGUCUUCCAGUUACAAGAACGACCAUGAGUAGUUUUGAGGCCUUGGAGGCCGAGUGCUUGCACUAGUUUGGGGUUGCACCGAAGAAGACGGACUGUAGAGGAAGCUUUAUAAAAUUGUGGUUUAGAGGUUUGAAAGAUUGCAUAAUGUUGACUGAUGAUAUUCACAUUCAGAGUUUAGUUGGGGUUCGUCAUGCCUCGCACACUUGUAUAGAUCAUUGUGUAGGGCAACUCGUGUCGACUGCAACGGGAUGGAUGGUCCGCUGACACUUUUGUUUACUUGGGUUUCGAUCCGUCUACUAUUUCUUGCGCCGAUUCUCGGCAAUCCUCGAGUGUUUCUGAUUGUAAACAGGUGGCAUAACUAGGAUCGUGAAAACUAUGCUUACCGAUAUUAUUCGCUUAUUCAUUACAGGAGGUUGUUGAAUGAUUUGCAAGAAGGACAUGUAUGUUAUAAAAAACUAGUACCUGCUUUAGUUUGGUCAAUGAAUUAAUUGUUGUGUAAUCAUAUGAUAACAUCGAUGUUUC